CAGGAUUGGACAAAACAAGAUGGCAGACGGCAUUUCCAAGCAAAGAUCCAGUCAGGAGCGGACUUCCUUAAGCUUAAAAGUUGCAAGUGAAUGAAGUGUGUUCUAUUUUAUGUCUCCUACUGAAACCAUGGUUUUGACAAACCUAAAAUAGCACGUGGAGCAAGGAACUAUCAGUAAGCUGGAAGAGCCAGCUCGAAAAUAUUUUAAGUGUUUGAGAAUUUCACCGCGCACAUGAACCUAAAGUUCUGCCACACGUUAGAAGGAGCCUUGUUCUCGAAGAUCAGCAUGUUGAAAAGUCUACAUUUUGCAGAAGCAAAUACAUUUAUAUUGUAUAUAUACAUGUAGACCAUGUUCGAUUCCCAACCACUUAACAUUUGUGAUAUCGGCAUGGAAUUAUUAAAACUGAGCAUGGUUUGACG